rnacentral:rRNA from 1 species
UACGGGGGGGGUAAGCGUUGUUCGGAAUUACUGGGCGUAAAGCGCGUGUAGGCGGUUAUCCAAGUCGGGUGUGAAAGCCUUGAGCUCAACUCAAGAAAUGCAUUCGGUACUGGGUGACUAGAGGACCGGAGAGGAUAGUGGAAUUCCCAGUGUAGUGGUGAAAUACGUAGAGAUUGGGAAGAACACCAGUGGCGAAGGCGGCUAUCUGGACGGUUUCUGACGCUAAGACGCGAAAGCGUGGGGAGCAAACAGG